ensembl:snRNA U6 U6 spliceosomal RNA
UUGCUUUGGCAGCACAUAUACUAAAAUUAGAAUCAUACAGAGAAGAUUAGCCUGGAUCCUGUGCAAGGGUUCUUGAAGUGUUCCAUAUUAAA